rnacentral:rRNA from 1 species
GGAAGUAAAAGUCGUAACAAGGUUUCCGUAGGUGAACCUGCGGAAGGAUCAUUACAAAAUAAUCCCGGUGCUUCGGCGCUGACUUAUUUACACCCUUUGCCUAUGUGUACCCCUAUCGCUUCCUCGGCAGGCUUGCCUGCCGCCAGGAACCAACCAAACCCUUUGCAUUAUAUACAAAAACUUCUGACAACAAACUAAAUAAUCAAAACUUUCAACAAUGGAUCUCUUGGUUCUGGCAUCGAUGAAGAACGCAGCGAAAUGCGAUAAGUAGUGUGAAUUGCAGAAUUCCGUGAAUCAUCGAAUCUUUGAACGCACAUUGCGCCCCUCGGUAUUCCGUGGGGCAUGCCUGUUCGAGCGUCAUUUACACCCUCAAGCCUCGCUUGGUGUUGGGCGUCUGUCCCGCUCUCGUAGCGCGGACUCGCCUCAAAGUCAUUGGCGGCGGUCGUGCCGGCCCCUCGCGCAGCACAUUUGCGCUUCUCGGAGGCCUGGCGGAUCAGCAUCCAGCAAGCUAUUUCAUGACUUGACCUCGGAUCAGGUAGGGAUACCCGCUGAACUUAAGCAUAUCAAUAAGCGGAGGA